GCAAUGAGAAAGAUACUUGUUGAGAUAUCUUCUUGACAGACAUGUCUAAACAUUUGGCUUCCAACGUCUAAUCGAAUACAGUAGCACUUACAUUUGGUAGGGCUUAUGGAGGUAUGAUUCGAAAAUGUCAAGUGUCGCAAAACUACACGAAAGCAUGCCAAAUCUCCGACAUUUAUAACAGGCGGAGAAGUGAUAUGAAGGAAGCAUAAUACAACACAAGAAUUAUCCACAUAACCACGCAAAAGACAAUAUAUAAGAAACCAGAAAUGGCGCAUGGCAUACGCUUAUACACAAAGCCGUUAAUACGGCAAGUGACAACAAUAUUGAAAAAAUACUUGUCACAAAAGAAACUAUGAAGUUCUUAAAUUUUAUAUAUAGGGAUGUUAAUAAACUGUGAGCUGCUUUGUUUAACCCCAUACAAUCAGCAAAACAACGCGUACAACGCGCCUUACUGCUGUGUAGGCAGCCUGAAUUCCCCGGGGAAAUUUUGUAUGUGAUUUUUAUCUCAGUCUUCUUCAAUGUUCAACGAGUAAAAUCGAUAGCUCUGAUUUCCAUUUGGCUUUAUGAAUUCAAAAAAUCAUACAA